rnacentral:rRNA from 1 species
CAGUGGCGAACGGGUGAGUAACACGUGAGUAACCUGCCCUUGACUCUGGGAUAAGCGUUGGAAACGACGUCUAAUACCGGAUACGACCCGCGGAGGCAUCUCCUGCGGGUGGAUGGUCAAGGAUGGACUCGCGGCCUAUCAGCUAGUUGGUGAGGUAAUGGCUCACCAAGGCGACGACGGGUAGCCGGCCUGAGAGGGUGACCGGCCACACUGGGACUGAGACACGGCCCAGACUCCUACGGGAGGCAGCAGUGGGGAAUAUUGCACAAUGGGCGCAAGCCUGAUGCAGCAACGCCGCGUGAGGGACGACGGCCUUCGGGUUGUAAACCUCUUUUAGUAGGGAAGAAGCGAAAGUGACGGUACCUGCAGAAAAAGCACCGGCUAACUACGUGCCAGCAGCCGCGGUAAUACGUAGGGUGCAAGCGUUGUCCGGAAUUAUUGGGCGUAAAGAGCUCGUAGGCGGUUUGUCGCGUCUGCUGUGAAGACUGGAGGCUCAACCUCCAGCCUGCAGUGGGUACGGGCAGACUAGAGUGCGGUAGGGGAGAUUGGAAUUCCUGGUGUAGCGGUGGAAUGCGCAGAUAUCAGGAGGAACACCGAUGGCGAAGGCAGAUCUCUGGGCCGUAAC